CACUAGGCCCAGAUUUGCUUUCACAUUUUGGAAACCCUAACAAUGAAGAAGACGUAGUGUCUCCUUCCUCUUAUCGUCCCCGAGGAAAAUUGUCCUCAGGCGGCAUCCUCUCGUCCCUCCGACGCCUAUUCACUUCCUAAUGGUGAGACUUCUCCAGUCACUAAUUGAUUCAUCUUCCCGACGAAUUGGCAGCGGGUUCUCAAUAUCUUAUCGACGACAUCUCAUUCCUACCAACUCUUCACAGCGGCUUGCUCCGCCUUCGUCCUCAGCAAUUAUCUCCUUGAUUCGGAGAUUGAAUCGUUUGGUCGUGUUGGCCUCUGUCAAGCUUCAUACCCUCAACUACUUCCAACUCAUUGAACAGUGUCUUCCCAUCUUGAAUUGUGAUGACACCCACUUUUCCAACUUUUCCCGACCUUUGCAAUCAGCUCAUCAAUUUCCCUUUCUCCAUUAGCAGAAAUAGUUCCAACCUGAGCAUUCUCCUCCUAUGUGCUUUUCAAUCAUCCUUGCUCUGCUUUUCAAGUUUGUAACAACAUCAACAGCCAUGGUUAUGCCACGUCUUAGAUCCAUAGCGUUCAUGCCAGCUACCACUGACUUGCAACCUUUUCAUCACAGCAGAUUUCCUCGUUGAUUUCUGCCAAGCCUCGAAUCACGGCUGCACGCACCACUAUGGCUGGUAGAAUUGGAGACAAUCUUCCGGUAGUGUAUUUCCUCUCCCCCUCUACCGGAUAAUUCUUCGACUGCUUCGACUCCUUUAAUCUUCUCUUCUUGGUGACAACCUGUACAUCGACGCCAAUACACUUCCGAAGGCGUAAACAUCAGUCAUCUCUCCUCCUUCCGACGAGCUGCCUCCUUCUGGUUUCUUCGGCUGUGGUAGUCCUCUCCCCCUCGGAUGGACAAACCGAGGAUUACUCCUCUAUUUUCUUCUCUUGACUGCUGUAGUUUUAUAUUCGGCUACAAUCACCCUUCUUCUCCGGGCAUGGUUGCUCAUGGUUGGCCGCUGGCUGGAUGAUUCCUUAAACUUGUAUUUCGUACUUCAGAAUCUGAUUCCGCCUUCUUCUUUAAUGCUGGAUCAGGGGCAGUCUCAUCCUUUUUAUCAUUUUCCUCAGCAACUCUACUAGUUCCAACGCCUUGGCAGGGUCAGAGUUCUCCUUAGAACCGUCAUGCGCUCCGCCAUCGGCAUCCAAUCGACUUUUUAUUGCUAGUCCUCCGUUGGCUCCUCUGCCGCUUUGACAAGAGAUCUCGGCCAUCAUCACGUUGCUGUUGUCGGGGUCUCCGUUGCUUGCGGUCUGUGCCGUCGUCUAUCCCUGCUACCGUUCGCCGUCGGCUGGAGCUGAGCAGCCGCUGCUGGAGCUUGCCCGGGUAACCCCGUUGCUGCUGCCCGGAUUAGUUCGGGCAGCCACUGGAAUGGGCCGCGAAUUCCUUGGCAUAGUCCUUAGCCCUGUUGUAGAUCAGCUUCCUGUUUGCAGACUUCUUUUCCUCAGUGCUGCGGCCUCCUGCUUUUUAACCAAGGCCCAUUCCUCAGCUCUCUUCUGUUUCUUCAAAACAGACUCCAGAACAAUUUGUCCUCCCUUUUCGACCAUCCUACCUUGAGAAUGAUGGAGCGGCGCUGCUGCUGAUGGAUGAAUAUCAAUGAUAAUUUUUUUUUGUAUGUGUUUUUUUUUGGUUUUGAACAAACUAACAAAGGAUUGUUAGUUGCUCUUGCUCCCUCGACGUCCUCAUCGUGCAGAUGACUUUUGAACCCAAAAUUUUUCAUAGCUGUUUGGUAUACUUGGGCAUAUUCUCGGCUGUAAAUUUGGUAGGGUUUUGGAUAUUUUUUUUUACUAUAGAGACAGAUUGAUCCAUACAAGGGAUCGAACCUGCUCUGAUACCAUAUUGAAAAGUAAAAUGCGGAAAAUAAAAAACCGAAGAACUCUUGAAGACUACAUUUUGAUAGAUUUGAAUUAUUCAUUGAGAUACCUUCUACAUGGCUAUUUAUAGGACUCUAGAUAUAAAUAUACCUAGAAACCAUACUCAUUGAAACUCUACAUUGUCAAUGUUAUUCUCUUCCCAACAUACUUGGGACUCACAUGUUCUCUUUCCAACAAUUGUGACAGGCAAAGGCAAGAAUUUAGGAGGACGAAAGGGAAAUGCCUGGUCUGGGGAAAAGCACCAUCCAAGAUUGUUGCCUCGUACACAACUACUACCGGUCAAACAAAGAACAGCCUUUUACUUUUACUGACAUCAGGAUGGUAAGUCAUGCUCCAAAUACAUUACAUGUAAAAGUAGGCUCCAAACACAACGAUUACCGGUCAGACAAUGACCUAUCCUUGUACACUUAAUGUUGGUUGCGGUGUAUUGCUUCAUAUCACCUUUCCACAUUAGCUUCAGGCUACACAAUCAUCAGCUCAAAAUAUUUCACUACAUGAUGAUCUGGAACAUGGGUUGAUCAAAACUAAAUACGUAAAGAAAUAAAAAAAAAGUAUAUUAUGCUUCGACACGUGGGGCUUAGCUCGUCACUUCCAUUAUGUGCCGGAAAUCCUGGGAGCCUUCUUCUAAACCGUACCAGCUCUGUUCGACCAUUUUCUCCCAUACUUUUAUGUGGUGUUCCUUAUGAUUCUUCUUUUUGACCAAGCUAAGAAGGAUGAUGACAGAUGCAAAACAAAGUAUGGCAAGUACUGGAAGCUGUAUUGCGACAAGGUCCCUAGCAGGAUUAUACCUGGAAUUUACUUCAUUCCCAAUGUACGCGAAGCUUGAAGAUUAUUUAAGACACUAAAUUUAUAGCAUCUGGGAAUUCGCGCUUUGAGUAUUGGCAACAAAAGAGGAGUGGAGGUAGAUUGAAACUGCUAGGCGUUGGUGUGCUAAGUUCCAUUCAAAGGGGAAGCAUAAUACUUCAAGCAGAAGGGACAAUUGAAUGAGGAAAAGAAGGUAUGAAGGGACUGAGCUUAGGCCUAAUGGAAAAGAAGGUAUGAAGGGACAAUUGAAUGAGGAAACACCUUCAAAUGCAACUACACAGAAGGCAGCUGCAGCCAAGCAGUAUAUUGAAAAUCAUUACAAGGAACAAAUGAAGAACUUGCUAGAAAGGAGAGAGCGACAUGAACUUCAUGGGAUACACCUACAAGAACUUUGAAAUCGUAAAUUAUCAUCUUAUGCUUGCUUUGUCAGAAUUGUCAAUGUAUAUCUUUCUCAAUGUGCUAGUUGAACUGAAGAAGAAGAGCAACAAGCCUAAGAGACCUACUGUGAAUUCCCUUUUCAGUACAAUACUGACUAGAAAAAACAAGGUUAGGCGGCCUUAUAUUUUCUUUUUACUCAAUCUACAAAUGGAAGUUUCAUAAACCUGCUACCUUCCAAAUCAAAUAUGUCAAGCAUUUCUGGAUAGGUUCAUUUAGGCUGUCUUCCAUCUUCUUGUCCAUGACGACAGUGACGAAGGCAGUUUUCGAGCUACUAUAUUUUCUUGAUUGUGUAAAUCAUUCCCUCACUGUACAUAUCUGAUACUCCAUCUCCCUCUUUACUCCUCACAAAGGAUGAAUAUGAUGUAUUCUUUUUUUGUUUCAACCUGUAUAAACUACUCCCGCGCGAAUAGGAGUCCUGUUUUUCCA